CCCAUAAAUGUAAUUAACUUUUUUUUGUCUGUUUGUCUGUUUGUCUGUUUGUCUGUUUGUCUGUUCGUCUGUGCGCGCUAAUCUCAGAAACGGCUGAUCCGAGUUGGAUGCGGUUUUCACGAAUAUAUUGUGGGAUGCUUAAAUUUACAUUUAGUGUUUGUUUCAUGUCAAUCGGUUCAUAAAUAAAAAAGUUAUGUCAAAUUAAAGAAUCACGUCGAACAUUCUAUGCUUAUACCAUUAAUCUCCGCAACUAUUUGACGGAUUUGGUUGAAAUUUGGUACAGAUAUAGUUUAGAACCUUAGAAAGGACAUAGAUAUAUUUUUAUUUCAAAAAUCAAAAAAUAAAAAUAAGAAAUAAAUUAUUUAUAAAUAAUUCUAUGUCGAUCGUUACACGACUUCGGUUCAUGUUAUUGUUUUAAUUUAUCGAAAAAAGUAAAUAAAUAGUAAAAAGGUAUGAAAAAAAUAAUAUCAAUAUAAUAAAACAUUUAGUACAAAGAAAAUGCUCUAACGGAGUAUAGAUAAUUCUAUGUCGAUCGUUACACGACUUCGGUUCAUGUUAUUGUUUUAAUUCAUCGAAAAAAAGUAAAUAAAUAGUAAAAAGGUAUGAAAAAAAUAAUAUCAAUAUAAUAAAA